GAUGAACGCUGGCGGCGUGCCUAAUACAUGCAAGUCGAGCGAACAGAUAAGGAGCUUGCUCCUUUGACGUUAGCGGCGGACGGGUGAGUAACACGUGGAUAACCUACCUAUAAGACUGGGAUAACUUCGGGAAACCGGAGCUAAUACCGGAUAACAUAUUGAACCGCAUGGUUCAAUAGUGAAAGGCGGCUUUGCUGUCACUUAUAGAUGGAUCCGCGCCGUAUUAGCUAGUUGGUAAGGUAACGGCUUACCAAGGCAACGAUACGUAGCCGACCUGAGAGGGUGAUCGGCCACAUUGGAACUGAGACACGGUCCAGACUCCUACGGGAGGCAGCAGUAGGGAAUCUUCCGCAAUGGGCGAAAGCCUGACGGAGCAACGCCGCGUGAGUGAUGAAGGUCUUCGGAUCGUAAAACUCUGUUAUCAGGGAAGAACAAAUGUGUAAGUAACUGUGCACAUCUUGACGGUACCUGAUCAGAAAGCCACGGCUAACUACGUG
rnacentral:rRNA from 1 species